UGCGGCUUCAGUCACACAGUGUUGUAGUACUCAAGAUCAAACUUGGUCUCAAGACCAGUCUCAAGACCACUUUUUGAAG